ensembl:lncRNA
UUGGGCAUUGGCACAGGGAGGUGAUGGAGUCACUCUCCCUGGUGGUGUCCAAGAACAGAGAAGAUGUGUAUUAAAGAAUGUUGUUAGUGGGGAAAUAUUGGUGGUAGGUGGUCGGUUGGAUGAUCUUAGAGGUCUUUUCCUUAAUGAUUCUAUGAUUUUAAAAAAUAGAUUUUGUGUACUGCAAAAAAUUAACGGUUGGAAGACUCUCGGGUGGCCCCAGUAGUCUGAGUGCCUGCCAUUGGUGAUAGGAAUCAGUCUGCAGCAGCACCAGUUCCUGUAUAUUUUUGUAACUGCUGAAAUCAAAUCUAAUGCAGGCUAUUGAAGGUAAAAAGUUUUAGGAUUUGUUAACUUUUGUCUCCCAUAUCAUUUGGGGUCAAUAAAUUCAGACAUUAGAAGAGCAGAAGCAGAUCAGCAUUCGUAUGAGCUAAAUAUUCCCAUGUGCAGAUGUAGGUGAGUGACUUUUAAUCAGUUAUCGGCCUGCCUGCAUGUCAAUGCUCGCUUACAUAAACUGUAGUUCAGCUAUACAGAGACAUUAACAGCAACUGCAGAGAGAUCCUCCCUUCUCUUUUUUUCAGUUCUUAAUUUUGAUCUUAACAAAAGAAAAUCCUGGAAGCAAAUACUCAGUCUUUUGAUAACAGCGGUUUAAAGGUGUCAGGAAGCAGGAAACAAACAGAAGGGUGAGUGAUCUCUUCUGCCUGCUUCCUUCCUCCCAGCCCCCAUCUGAACACCUGACGGUGCUGCUCACCGUGCUGCCGAGUUCUCCUGCCCCAAAGAGAUGCUCUGGAUUUAUAGAGCAAACAGUUUUAGUUUCCCCAGAAACCCAGGCUUGUUUUAAAGCUGCCUUUGUUCAUUUAGUGAGCAUCUUCUUCCUUUUUACAGCAUGUGUUCAGUAAAGCAACCCUUUGCUUAUCUUUAUGAGACGUACCUUAGCACAGCUCCUCUGGCAUUAUCCUCACAAAAUGCCAUCGCAGACAUUGGAGGCAUAGCAUUAUUUAUUAGCUCGUUCUGGUACAACUCAAUUACUUUCUCUCCUUUAAAAGUACUGCUGGAGAGGAGGCCUUUUGAGAGCAGCCAGUGUCCUUCUUGUUUUUCUAACCACUUCUCUGCAGAUGCCGCACCUCACUUGAAAAUACAGAAGUAUGUAAACAGAGCCUGCACGGAGUGGGACAUAAACACAUUGCUCACCGAGGGGAUAUUGGAACUUUCCAAAACUUACCCUAUGGAUUUUUGUAGGAGUGCAUCAGCUGAAACCAACAACUCCUGAAAAAUGAGGUAUCGUUGUGUUUCAGAUCUACAUCACCAAUUGUACAGUCAUUUUGGAAACUGCCUCAACUGAGCUCUCUAGCACCUUUAACUCUUCACACAAUCCCACUGAAAAUAGGCAAGAGAGACACUCAUAAACAACCACUGAAUAGGAAAAAGUAAGUGUCCCACUCACACGAUCAUUAGUUACUACUAAAAAAUAUUUAUGGCACUGUAAAAUCUCAUGUCUCUCCCUUGGCUUGAAAAGUUCUGUUAUUUCUUAUUCUCUAUUGUUCCAUACUAUUUAUAACUUCUAGCUGCCCAGGUCAUACUCCCUGUAGUUCCCCUGCCAGGUUAGAAGAAUGUUUUUGUCCUUUUCUGUCUAAAAUUACUCCAGCACGCUUUAUCUUCUGUUUCCUCUAAUUAUUUUCUCCAGUUCAUUGUUCCUGAUAUUGUUCCUAAACUGAACGUAUUGAUUUCCUGUCUCUCCUCCUGUCUUUUGUUUAUUAAGAUGAUAAAUGCUUUAAGAUAGAGCCUGUUCUUUGUUACACAUAUUGAAUCUCUCUUGGAUCUUACAAGCAAAUCACCAUCCCAAAUUUAAGAGCUGAAUCACAAAUCGAAUAAGUUU